UUAAGUACUAACUUUAUUAUUAAUGAAGCUUUUAAAGUAAAAACUAAAAUGCAACUUUUUGAAAAUAAAAGAUAAUUCCAUAUCCUGAAGCAGCAUCUUGACCCUAGCAACACAUAAUCACCAGUGGAGCUUUUGGGGAAAAAAAAUACAGAUGUUUGUGUUCUAGCUCUGGAAAUUGAAACUCAGAAAAUCUGAGAUGAGAUAUAGGCAUCUAAAUCUUCUUUGAACAAACUCCAUGAGUAGUGGUAAGAACAGCUAGAGUUAACUAUUACCUCAGAUACUAAUAUUUCAAAAAGAUGACAAGCCAAGAUGAUAGUAAAUUUGCCAUUUUGUUCAUAUGAUAGGAAAAAAAUGAAGAAAGUCUGGGAUAGAGCUGUUGACUUCCUUGCUGCUAAUGAGUCUAGAGUUCGCACGGAAACACGAAGAAUAGGUGGUGCAGAUUUUCUGGUUUGGCGGUGGAUCCAGCCUUCUGCAUCCUGUGACAAAAUAUUAGUUAUACCUUCUAAAGUAUGGCAAGGUCAAGCAUUUCAUUUAGAUAGAAGAAAUUCACCACCAAAUAGUUUGACACCGUGUUUAAAGAUUCGGAAUAUGUUUGAUCCCGUUGUGGAAAUAGGGGAUCAGUGGCAUUUGGCAAUUCAAGAAGCAA
rnacentral:sRNA from 1 species